GUUUUUUAUUCAAAAUUUAUGAUAUUAAAUUGCAAAUUUAAAGGUAACUUUAUUAAAAACCUA
rnacentral:tRNA from 1 species